rnacentral:rRNA from 1 species
UACGGGGGGUGCAAGCGUUAUUCGGAAUUAUUGGGCGUAAAGGGCGCGUAGGCGGUUGAAUAAGUCAGAUGUGAAAGCCCUUGGCUUAACCAAGGAAGUGUAUUUGAUACUAUUUGACUUGAGUAUGGGAGAGGGAAGUGGAAUUCCUGGUGUAGUGGUGAAAUUCGUAGAUAUCAGGAGGAACACCGGUGGCGAAAGCGACUUCCUGGACCAAUACUGACGCUGAGGCGCGAAGGCGUGGGAAGCAAACAGG